AUAUAUAUAAAUAAAUAAGUUUGAAGUCCCUUUGAGGUAGGGUUCCUGAUUUCCACUUUUUAUCUUCUUCCACAUUCGAAUAUUAUGCCUCUCAAGAAAAAUCAGAAUAUGGCGAUUAUCUGCCUCUGGCUUCUGAUAUUAGCGCGACAGUCACUAAUCAUAACAGCGUCACCAGAUUUAAAAGUAUAUAGGGUGCCUGUACCAAUUAUGGCACUACCUAAGGAAAACUAUUUGUACAAAAAUAACGAGAAGACCAUCGAAUGUCACCAAUAUGUUAAAAGAUAAUUUAGUUUCCAUACUUUACAGGAAAAAUAUAACAACGGAGCCAAAACUAUUUGAGUAUUUAUUACAGCGUGUGCCAAUGAUAGGAACCCUGUCCCAGUUAUGGCUACAUUUUAUAACUUCGGUUCCUUUUCGCACUAUUUGCAUGUAUUUCUUAUGGGAUUAGCCAUAAUUGGUACACUAUGGCGAAAAAGGGUGCAAGGAAGCCAAAAUUUUAAGGAAAAUAAUUUAUUUCUACCAUAAUUUGAGCAAAAUGUGGACUUUAAAUGAAUGCAAUCAUCUUUUGUGAACGCGAUCUGUUGUUGACAUUUUUUUUAUUGUUGAUAUAUAUCGUUAAAGCGAAGACGGCUAAUAACAAGACAGACAGCUCCCACCCUGUUUCAGACGACAUGGUCGGAACGCCCUCAACGAUUCACAGGAACAUUAAAACAUGAUUGUGUGCGUGUACAUGCAAAUACGUACACGGAAAUGGUAACGUCGCAUGCACACUCAUUCAUGAUGUUGUUCCCUGAAGUCGUUCGUGGCGCUAGUGUGCUUGUAGCUGCCAAAGUAUAUGGAGCAAGAGGGUAGAUGUCUGUCUUGUUAUUAGCCGUCUUCGGUUAAAGGGUGAAAAUCAACUAUAGCGAAUAAAUGGUACUAUAGCCAUAAUUGGUACACUUACCCUAUUUCCACUAUAUGGGGCGAACGGUGGGAAGCCACACUUGAAAUUUAAACAUUCGUCCACAUUCGCAUCGCCAGCGAUCGAGAGGUGAAGCAACUCGUGAGUGAUAUUGCGCAUACGAAUUUUUGAAGUUUAAAAAAAAAUGUUUAUUAUUUUCUUUGCUAAUCUAGCAUUUCAACAACAAUACACUAAAAAUGUAUGCAUUACAUGCAGAAAUUCUCUUCUAGUUAUGAUAAUAGCCGCUUCGAUCGCUCACCAGCAUUCGUCACCAUUCGCUAUUCAUUCAUUCGCUUGCGAUCCAUACUGCGACGAUCGGCAACGAAUAUCCAUGUCAAGCAGCUUGCGCUUCACUUCCCACUGAUGAUGAUGGGGUUGCGUGUUUGAUCACGACAACCCGUUUGAUUCAUCUUUCUCGAUUCGCUUCAGAAAAGAGGAGUGAAUACGAAUGGAGUGAGGCGAAUAUACCGAUCCUUGCUUUGAGGCAACAAAACUCAAACGGAUGAACCGGUCAGUAGGGUAUAAAAUAUAAUUUGGACAUGUACGUAAUUUGGACAUGCACGGCGAUGUGUGUCUUGUUCCGGGGAGCUAAUGAAAGUAGAUACUUCUCAAUAUCGAUUACUGGAUCAAACAGACCCUCUUCUGAUGACUUACAUUGAGAAUACGCUUAACAAUUAAGAAUUUACUUCAAAAUUAUCGAUAAUGUUAAUUAUUUCACUAAAACCCCCAAAUGCACUGGUAUGCAAGACGACAUACACUACAUAGUCACAUACAAUAUUCACCUUAAAAUCGCUGAAUUAAUAAUUGUAAGAAAUUUAAAAGCCUUAGUGCAAUGAAAAAUGUUCAAUAAAGAUGCAUUAGGCAGCCAAGCUCUUAACAUUCAUCUAGAACACUUAAAAUAGAUUUUUUUAUUACUUAUUCGUUUAUUUGGAAGGCUCGGGCGCCACAUGGGCAUAACUGAGCCGAAAUCUUUUAUUUUUACAUUGGUUUUACAUUUUACAAUUUAUUACUGUCUUAAUACUAUGUUAGUUUUGGGAAGCCGAAGUACUCGCGGCUGUUUCGAGGUUAAGGAUUGAAAAAAUAAAUAAAAUAAAAUUUGGAAGGAGGGAUGUAGGGGUCGUAAACUAAAUUAUUUGCUAAUUUAUACUAAAAAACAUUGAUGGGACAAAUUGUCCAUAUCUGUAACGGAGCCAAAAAAAGGACUUUAUCGGUAGACAACGACAAGAAGAGGACAACCGGAAGGGGGGCGAAGACAUACAGGGGCGAACAACAAAACCAAAAGGCGGAAAACGAAAACAAGGAACAAACUACAUCAAAUUCUGACAUCAACACGUUUCAAAAACUGGUAAAUCAGGUUCAUGUAUUCCAAGUCAAGUCCUGCCAACACUUCUCUAACGGGUUUCUGUUGUUUUCCUCGGACCCGGAGAAUUUCAUGCAGCUCAGAUCUGACCUCACGAUACUCAUUGCAUCCCCACACGACAUGUUCGAUAUCCUGGUAAGCCACACCACAGACACAGAGAUUGUUUUCUGACAGCCCAAUACGGAAGGUAGGUGCAUUCAACAAAUAGUGGUUGGACAUAAGCCGACACAUUCACGAAUGAAAUCGCGGCCUAAAUCCAACCCUUUGAACCAUGGCUUCUUCGACACCUGUGGAAUGAAGGAGUGCAACCAUCUACCCAUCUCUCCAUCUCUCCAUUUGUGUUGCCAGCUGAUCAAGGUCUCCUGACGGGCCAGUGCAAAAAAAUCGUCGAAGGCGAUUUGACGCUCGUAAACAUCGCCUUCGCUAGCGCCCACCUUAGCCAGUGAGUCCGCUUUUUCGUUGCCCGGAAUCGAGGAAUGUGAAGAGACUCAAGCUAUGGUGAUGGUGUAUGAGCGUUUGGUCAAAGCACUCAAUACUUGGCGUAUUCCAUUCAGGAAGUACGCUGAGUGCUUCAUCCGUUUAAUUGACCGAACAGCCUCCAGAGAACUUUGACUGUCGGUAAAAAUGAAGAAGAGCUCAGGUGGAAGAGUGUGAAUGUACUCUAAGGUGUAGUAUAUAGCCGCUAGCUCAGCUACGGAUACAGAACAGGGCUUUUGAAGCAUGAAGGUGGCGCUAUGAAAUUCGUUGUAGACACCGAAUCCAGUCGAAUCAUCGAUUUUUGAACCAUCUGUGAAGAACUGUCUGUCCCCGCUAACAUGCCCGAACUUACUUGCAAAAAUCUGUGGAAUACCUACGAAACGAAAAGAUUCCGGAAUACCGGUGAUCUCAUCCUUCAUAGAGAGAUAAAAAUUCACUGAGGAGCUGUCGAAGUCUGAGAAGUUUUCACGAUUGGUGUUAACCGAAGAUGGGCUUACAUCCAGCGUCAUGUACCAGUAGUACACAGUCAUAAAACGAGUUUGAGGGUUCUGUUCGAGCAGCUUUUCGAAAUUUUCUAUGACCAAUGGAUCCACAACCUCGCAUCGGAUAAGGAACCGGAAUGACAACUCCGCAAAGCGGUCUGUCAGAGGCUGUACUCCAGCAAGUACCUCUAAACUCAUUGUGUGAGUCGAGUUCAUGCAACCUAACGCGAUCCGAAGGCAACGGUACUGAACCCGUUGGAGCUUCAGCAAGUGCGUUUUCGCCGCGGAUUGAAAACAAAAGCUACCGUAUUCUAAAACCGGCAGAAUGGUUGUUUUUCGAACCAGACGCCGAGAUAAUGAGAAGACAUGCUAUGAGUGAUUGACUUACCGAUCAGAACGAGCGGAAGCUUAGCCGGUUUAUGUUUUUUAGAAAAGACAACCAUCUCAGUUUUCUCCGGAGAGAAUUCGAUACCCAGCUUGAGAGCCCAAGUAGACAAAUUGUCCAAACUAUCCUGUAGUGGUCCUUGCAGAUCAACUGCUAUUGAUCCCGUUACAGAAACAACACAGUCAUCCGCAAGCUGUCUUAACGUGCAAUUUCCCAUGAGACAAUCAUCUAUGUCUCUAACAUAAAAGUUGUAAAGAAGGGGGCUUCGACAUGAACCCUGGGGGAGACCCAUGUAGCUUAUUCGUGAAACUGUCAAGUCGCCAUGAGCAAAACUCAUCUGCUUCUCAAACAGCAAAUUAUACAAAAAGUUGUUCAUAAUUGGUAAAAGGCCACUUUCGUGCAGUUUGUCGGAAAGAACAUCGACACAAACUGAAUCAAAAGCCCCCUUAAUAUUCAAAAACACUGAGUCCAUUUGCUGCUUUUGAGCAAAAGCAAGCUGAAUUUCUGAAGAAAGUAGCGCAAGACAGUCGUUCGUUCCUUUGCCUCUGCGGAAACCAAAUUGUGUAUCUGACAACAUGCCCCUCAAUUAAACCCAUUUGUCCAGUCGAAAGAAAUUAUCUUCUCCAACAACUUCCGUAGGCAAGACAACAUCGCAAUUGGACGGUACGAAUUAUGAUCUGACGCGGGUUUCCCGGGUUUUUGAACAGCUAUCACCCUCACUUGUGAGAAGUGUAGAAUUAGCUAUAAGUUAAAGUACACAUUAAUAUAAAAAAAAAACCCUCACUUGUCUCCAAUCAUCCAGAGCUUUGUUGUUAUCCAGGAACUAAUUGAACAAGUUCAACAAGCGCCUCUUAGCGACGUCGGGGAGGUUUUUUGAAGCAUGUUGAACUUCCCAGUCAACCAGUAAUCGUAUAAGAUGUUGCAUAAGAUGUAAAAGUGGAGGAGGUAUGCGUACAUUUUACAUGCGCAUAAAUGGAGACAUGCACGCAUAUGGCCUCCACUUUAUCAUCUUAUGCAACAUGUUAUACUAUUACUGGUUGUCUGGGUUGAUUCGAUCCAUUCCUGGAGCGGAAUUAUUACAUGAAAGAAGAGCAAGUGAAAAUUCAACUAUCGAAAACGGCCUAUCCAUGUCGUCCCUAUCCUCGGAAACAUCACGAAUUAUUCGCUCCACGGGUACGGAAUCUGGACAAACUUUUUUUGAGAACUUGAGGAUCCACCGAGGAGAGCUUUCUCGAUCCUCGUUUACCGACGACGCGUUACGCAUUCUUCUCCCAACGUUCCAAAAAGAUCUCAUUGAGGUCUCGCGCGACAAACCCUCGACGAACCGACGCCAGUAACCGCUCUUCUUCGCCUUGACCAAGUUCUUAAACUUGCUUUCAAGGGAAGCAUACCGCUUAAAAUUUUCGACCGAACCGCGUUUCCGAAACUCUUUGAACGCCACGGAUUGGGGGUUUCCUGCGAACCGACGGACCUGGCACUGGUCGGCGUUGUGCCUGAAGCGUGCUACUGAUGAUCAGUUCUGAUAGAAACUGAUACUCUUCCCGCGGUGGAAGGACUUCUACCGAUUGCUCACCGUCGAUAAUUGCUUCGGCGCUGUCCAUAAACUACGUAGACACAAUUUUGGCAAUCUCAGAACCCCCCUCCCCCCUCGUAGACUUUCGUCCAUACAAACUUUUUGAAAUUUGUAAGGACCGUAGACUUUGGCCAGAACCUCCCGCCCCCCCCCCCUCAGAGUCUACGUAGUUUAUGGACAGCCCCUUCUGCGUACUUCUCCCAGUCAAUGUGCUUGGUGAGACCGUAGACGAUGUCGAUAGAUGGAGGUUGAUGUGACCCAUUGGAAAUAGAAACAACAAUCGGCAGAUGAUCACUACCAUGGGGAUCCUGGAUAACCUUCCAUGUACACUCCAGCGAUGGUGAGCUCGAACAGCUUGAGAGGUCUAAUCGGCUGUUUCUAGGACUGCCAUCUUGAGCUGGAGAUGCCACUCGUGUAACUUCUCCGGUAUUCAAAAUUGUCAUGUUGAAGUCGUCGCAGAGGUCAUAUAUCAAAGUUGAUCGGCUGUCAUCGUACAGCUCCCCCCAGCCUGUACCAUGAGAGUUGAAAUCUCCCAUGAGCAGCCGAGGCUCAGGCAUAACCGAGCAGAUGUGGGCGAGAUCCCUGCGAGAUAUCGCAGUUCUCGGAGGAAGAUAUAUGGAGGCAACACUGAGGGUUUUACCUCGGAUAGUCACCUCACAUGCGACGGCUUCAGUGCCUGUCUUCGGAUGAAAAUCGACUCUGUAAAAUGAGUGCUGCUUCUUGAUCCCUAGAAGCACCCCUCCGUACGAGUCGGAUCGAUCAAGGCGAAUGAUAUUAUAAUCGGGAAAAGGUAAGCUUACAUCAGGUGUCAGGCAUAUUUCUGAUAGUGCAAAAACAUCGCAUUGUAAAUUGUUAACUAAAAAUUUAAAAAAUUCUAAUUUCGGUGUAAUACAACGACAGUUUCAGUGUAGAACAGAAAUCGUAUCUUCGACCUCGGUGGUUGAAUUAGCCAUCGAAAGAUACGAUUGUCGCAAGGAGGGGCAUUUUAGAAGCCAACAGCUUCAAAAGAGGGGUCACACAAGAAAGAAGUCCUUUUACAAUGUUCUUCACGGAAUCUGAGGCAUUGAAGAAUCUGAGGAUGAUUUCUACGAUGCCAGAGAGCGUAAACAUUGGCGCACCCUGAGGUUGCUCCUGGUGCUCUGAAUGCUGUCUCUCCAGUUGAGAAUUCGAAAUACGUGGGACAUCCAGGAUUUAAGAUGUUCCCGGGAGAGAUGGAAAGUCUCAUACGUCCUGGAUUUUGAAUCCCAGAGGGAAACGUUUUGUGACUUUCUUACCACUCUUGAAAUUUGUCACGGUGGGUUGGGGGUCACUGCUAGGCAGAUUCCGAGGUUUUUUGGUGGGUCUCUGGAGCCUUAUCCGUUUCCUCGUUUCACUCUCGAAAACAAAGGGAACCCCGUCCCGACCUCAGAGUCAUGUGGACGGUCGUUGCCACAAUAAACACACUUGGGCGGCGUUUUACAUGCACCGUCUACAUGUCUCUCCCCGCAUGUUGCACAGCGAGGUUUAUUGCUGCAGUACUGGGCGGUGUGGCCCAGCUGCUUGCAAUUGAUGCAAUUCAUUACCUUCGGUACAUACAGCCUCAAAGGUAGCCGAAGUUUGCCAAUCGCCAGCAGAUCUGGUAAGGCUGAUCCGUAGAAGGUUACACAAAAUUCAUCAGAUGGUGUGUAAAUCUUCUUCUCGCCCUCCUGGGAGACCGAAUACAGUUGCCGGCAAUCCAGUAUCUGGACAGGAGGUAAAGAAGGGUUAUGGAAACGACCACAGCCUUGCAUGAUCGUUUCGCAGGUCAAAGAUCCUUCAGCGGCCUUCCCCGAAAUCGCUAUCAACGCGCUUGGAAGGUAAACGUGAUACUCUCAUUAGCCUGUUUUCGGUCGCCUACUGUCACCCGAAGCUUAGCUGUACCGACCAUGUCAAUGGAGACAACGGAAGAAUAUCGCUUAGUCAGAUCCUUGCUGAUUUGAACAGUUUUCAAACGUUUGCCUUCGUGCCGGAAGAAAACAACAUAUGGCCCGCCAAAGUCGGGAGGGUAGGCCUUGAGGCGGGGGGACGUUGGAGGGGUAUUAUUGGCAUCCAUUGCAGAAACGCCAGAUUGAGAGGUGCUCAAGGGGUUCACAUUUUGCUGGAUCGGUGCACCCGAAGCCAACAGCAAGGCUGAUGGGAUAAGACGUGACCCCGCCAUCCUCAUCAUCACCCAUUGCUGCAAGAAACCACCGCCACGGGGCACACGCUCAAAACCAACAACGAUCACGAAGCUCAAAAUUGAAUCGAACACUAUCACAAAAUAUCAACACAAAUGGGAAAGAAAAAAACUACUAAUGUACUGGAUGAAAACUAAUCAAACGAAACGGUGGAGUGGAGGAAAACAACACAAGAGAACGGUGUACUUAAGUUUGAUUGAACUGCGCUGCUGCCGGCGACAGUCGGAAGGCGUUGUGCACACACACGCAGGGAUGCUGAGGCGACGGCGCCGGCCCGCACCGUGCGGCGGUGGAAACACGAUGAUUUGCUCUCUCUCUGCUCUCACUGCUGCUGGGUUGGUAUUGGUCGAAGACUGCUCACACACGCGUUGACCGGACACUCACCAACACGAUCCAAGUGUGCGCUUGGAUACGCACCUCGAACGGCGAAGAAAAAUGCCGAAACACGUAGACGAUUCUAAAGCACGAAAACCGCACUUUGCGGCGAAUAUUGGCUCUGAUAAUGAAACAAAACUUCCAAGCGCGGCUUGAAAUAACUACUGCUUGCACACUGCUGCACUUGCACCUCGUAAAAAACAAUACCUAGGUUUGGAAAAAACGAGGAGAAACCCGGACGCGUGAAACUGACGACUGUCUCGCGCGGUAGCUCGACAAAGAAUCGCACUUAAAAUAGAUGAUUUCCAAAAUUAAUUACAAGUUUUCUACUGUAGCGGAAGACGGGGUAAGAAGGCCCGCCGGGGUAAGAAGGACCACCUGCAGUUCACCAUGAAAAUGCCGUUUUUUAUAAACUUUCACCUAGCACUCUGUUCAAGUAAAAAAUAUUUGUUAUUUUGAGCCAUUUUGUGCAAUGUUUAUAUUGAGAUUUUCACAACAAAGAUUUUGCUCCAUGAUGAUGUAUUUGAUCUAAUUUUGUCGCAUAUAACCUUAAGGAUUUUAAUUCAGAAUAACGUUUUCAAACCAAAAAAGUAACCCGUUCAUAACUUACCAGGAAUGUUUACAAAACAUAAGAGGAACGGGAUCAAGAUUGAGCAUGAGCAUGAGCAUGGAUGACCGCACAAUUCGUAGUUGCUACUCCGUGAUUGACCAGAGCAAUCGAAAUUGCGCAGGGAACCAAUGAAUAGGGAUUGGGACUAGCUUACUAUUCUCAAUGUACACAGCUCUCAACACCGCCGUUAACAACCGACCACUUUUCGACGCAAAAACUAGUCAAAAAGGAAAUGCUAUCGCGCGUCUCCAUUCCACUAGGGAGCAGAAACCUUUAGUCGAUUCCACACAGAAAUACACUGAACGUGACUCACUUGUCGGCGCCCGGAUUUUUUUCUCGACCGGCGAGCCCGAACUAACAUUUUUCACUCUUUUGUGUAAAUGCAAAAAAUGAAAGAAAAUAUUUAUUAUCAACUAAAAGUAUAUUGGGAACGAAGCGGGAAGCGAAAAAUUCGGAACCGACUCGAUCCACCGCGCACUAAAUUCAACCGCGUCGAUUUUAUUCUUUCUCGUUCACACUGCAGCGCGAUGGGAAGCGAAAAAUCUGGAACCGACUCGAGCCACGACGCGUCCACCGCACACUGAAUUCAACCGCGUUGAUUUUCUUCUUUCUCGUUCACACUGCAGCGCAAUGGGAACCCGACUAGAAGAUUCUAACAAAAAUAUAACAUAAUUAUAACAAACCAUGAUAUAUCUAUAACUCAUUGUGAUAUAUACAUGUUCAACAUCUUUGGUGUUUAAAAAUAUUAUAACUCAAUUGUAUCAUAUUAUGUUAUAAAGUUCUUCAAUAACUCAUUGUGAAAUAAUUUAGUUUUGAUUCUUUGACAUUCAGAACAUCAUUUUACACUAUUGUAUCAAAAUAUGAUAGAAACUAGUUUUCUUGAAGCUAAAAUUUAUAACAUAUUGUGUUCUAAUUUUGAUCUGAUUAUAACAAGAUAGGCUAUUAUUUUGAUUAGACGACUUUUUGUAACAAUUUUAGUUAUUUUAACAUCAAAGACGGGCUUGGUGGUCUAGUGGCUACCGCUUCUGAUUUAUAUGCAGAAGGUCCUGGGUUCAAUCCCUGGCCCGUCCCUUUCCUCCUACUUUGUAUCUUUCUAUAUACUUUCUCUCUGCUCUCUACAUAUACAACUCAUGUAUAUAAACAUGUUCAUAGCCGUCGCUAGAACAGAGACGGGUUGAAAAAGCCGUUUCCCUUCCUUCCAAACUUUCACAGCACAGUGCCACAAUCCUAUUAGAAAACGCCUACAAGCUAUGCAAUCAAGCGAACUGUGCCGCACAUCUUCAGAAUAAUAAAAACACACAAUUCUAUCACCUUCCCCUGGUAUCCACACACCAAUGUGUGAACCUUCUGCCAACCAAUUCCCACCAACACUCCAACAUCCGCAUGAAUUUGUGCUGGCGCAGAGGUAUAUUCGGCCAGAUGUGGAUACAAACGAUUGCAAUCAUCACUUCCUUACCCUUCCCCACAUUGACCUGCAACCUGACGUGGCAGGCGCCAUUGUCGCCUAAAAAUAGAAGAUCACCAACGCUCACACACUGAAGAUGCCUGCUAGUCCCCGGCAGUUAUCUCAUUGGUCCUUGUGUGAGUGUAGUUGGUCUGGCGAUACUGGAGUAGCAUCCACGGGCGGUCAAUCAAGCUCAAGCUCAAGCUCAAGCUCAAUUUUAGUUAUUUUAACAUCAUCCUGCAUCUAGUUUAUAACAUAAUAAGUUACAGAAAAAUUUCAUAACAUCAUAACACAAUGUGUUAUAAAGUUGAUAUAAUUUUCUAGUCGGGAAGUGAAAAAUUCGGAACCGACUUCGCCGUCCAAAUGCUCACUUCGGAAUAGAAAAAAAAAAAAGAACCACCGAAGCAAAAGCGCGCGACAUUGGCACCCGGACGAAAUCCUACUACACACUGAUGCACGGUGGGUCCGCCGUCGUCGAAAUGCUUACUUCGGAAUAGAAAAAGAAAAAAAUCGAACCACCGAAGUAAACGCGCGCGACACUGCACUAAGGGGAUUAAGGUGGCCAAAAAUCGAAAAUUGACUUUAUUCAAUUUGAGAUUCAGGUUCGGUAGUUGGAAGUAGAUCACUUGGACCAGUAAACCCUAGAAUAUUAGUUUGCUAAUCCCUAUAUUUAUCGAGAUAUUGGCAGCAGAAUUAGACUAUUGUCAAUUUUUGGUAAAAUUAAUGAAAUGUUCAACUUCGCAUAUCUUCGGCUUAAAUGAAAAAAUGGUUAACUUUUAAAGUAGUUUCUAAAAGAUUGCUUAAAAACCUUUCGAAUGACAUAUCAGACGUAGAAAUGUUGAUUGUAAAACUAUUAAAUAAUGCCACAUUAAAAAAUCCAAUUUUUUCCCAUACAAACCGUUCCAUACAAAAAAAGUUUCGCUGAGUUUCGCUUCGAGACUACUUCUAUGUCUUUGUUUAGGAUCCCUGGGAGACAUUGAAACCAAGUUUGGCUGCUACUAGCUGCUAUUCUGCAAUUCCAAUCAUAUUGUCGGCGAUGAUUGAGAUAUUGCUAUAUAAAAUCACCCUAUUGGCCAUUAAAUUCCUCUGAGGAAAUAUUUGAUCGUCAUGGCCAAUUUACUCGGUAGAUCAAUCAUAGUGCAGUCUAAUCUGGUCUUGGAUCUCUUAGCGAAACGUGUUUUUAUGAAUUGGAAUCCAUUUUGUAAAUAGGAACAGAGAUCCUCAAACGCCUAAAAGUAUGCAAUGCCCUUAUAAUUGAAGUUGUGUGAAACUGUCGUGUUAAAACAACCUGUUCAACAUGUUUUUCAUAUUUUUCAGGCAUAAACCCUACAAAUAGGAGCCAGGCAUUAUGAAAUUUACGCGAAAAUAUUUUUGGCCACCUGUUUGUAUGGAGCCGCCCCAUAGUGCACUGGCACCUGGACGAAAUCCCAUCACACACUGAUGCACGCUGGGUCCGCCGUCGUCGAAAUGCUCACUUCGGAAUACAAAAUAGAAAGAGAAAAAAUCGAACAACUGAAGCAAACAAGCGCGACACUGGCACCCGGACGAAAUCCUACUACACACUGAUGCACGCUGGGUCCGCCGCCGUCGAAAUACUCACUUCGGAAUAGAAAAAGAAAAAAAAUCGAACCACCGAAGCAAACGCGUGCGACCCAUAAGAGGAACGGGAUCAAGAUUGAAAACAAAAAUCCUCAUAAACUAGCCUCAUAAGUAAAAUCUGCCCAAACGAGGUUAGAAACCCUACCCAAUCAUUAUGUGAUGAAUUGUUAUAAAUAAAUUAAAACCAAACUUAAACUAUCUCCUAAAAAACGACCGUGAGUAAACUUACAUACUAAUGUUUGGUUUAAAACUAAGAUCUUUAAAACUGAAUUAAUAGGUAUACAGACUAGAUCAACGGACGGUAGAAAGGACGUAGACAUCCAAGACUAGAGUCACUGAAAUAGUUCUACGACUUGCGUGCUAAUGACCUUGUGCUAGAAACGCAGGUACAUGGUGUUCCAAAUCCAGAAAUACAAUGGUAUAAAGAUGAUGAUAAAAUAAGCUAUGAUGACAAGUUAAUGUUAAAUCGUGAGCCAAAUGG